AUUGAACGCUGGCGGCAUGCUUUACACAUGCAAGUCGAACGGGAAGAGGACGCAAGGUGCUGACGAGUGGCGAACGGGUGAGUAAUGCAUCGGAACGUGCCCAGUCGUGGGGGAGAACGCAGCGAAAGCUGCGCUAAUACCGCAUACGAGCGAUGGAUGAAAGCGGGGGACCGUAAGGCCUCGCGCGAUUGGAGCGGCCGAUGUCAGAUUAGGUAGUUGGUGGGGUAAAGGCUCACCAAGCCAACGAUCUGUAGGUGGUCUGAGAGGACGACCAGCCACACUGGAACUGAGACACGGCCCAGACUCCUACGGGAGGCAGCAGUGGGGAAUUUUGGACAAUGGGCGCAAGCCUGAUCCAGCAAUGCCGCGUGCAGGAAGAAGGCCUUCGGGUUGUAAACUGCUUUUGUACGGAACGAAAAGGCUCUCUCUAAUACAGGGGGCUCAUGACGGUACCGUAAGAAUAAGCACCGGCUAACUACGUGCCAGCCGCCGCAGUAACAC
rnacentral:rRNA from 1 species